rnacentral:lncRNA from 1 species
AUUGUUACCUAACAGCUUCUGCAGCAGGCCGUACCUCUGCAUCCACCACCUUUGUGCCAAGGCCACAGUCUUCCCAGGCAGCCCCCAGCCAAUGAGCGUGGUGGGCGCACUAGCCAAGGGCCUGAUAUAGGCCAGUUCUGAUGGGCAGCAUGCACUCUCCUCAACCUGACCAAGGCUUUUGCAGGGCCGCGUUGUGGUCUGUGGCUCCUCCUAUUCAAUCCACCCUCCUUUCCUCUCUCCUUUUCCAGCUGUCAGACCUACAUUACUAUCGGAAGGCUCUCCUACUCCUGCCACCUGGUCCUUUACCAUUUGUGUCCCCAGACAUUGCCAAAUGUCCACUGAGAGACCACAUCCCCUGGAUGAGGACCAUGAGUAUAAGCCCCAGAGGAAGAGAAAUUAAAGAAGCUCACACAUCAGCAGAGAAGUACAAGCUCCUCUAGGAAUGGAGACUCACAAGAGCAUCUGGUUACCUGCUCCAAUCACCUACAGUGGACAGCUGGACUAAAUGCAUAAUGGAUGAGUUCGGAGAGAGGUAAGAUAAUGAAAUUUGCUGCUUCUUUCUAUUAUAGCUAACUUAACUCCUCUAGCUCUUCCUUGCUCCCGAUCACACUGAAGCAGCCCUAACUAUUGCAGCAAGAGAUUGCUUUUGACGUUAAGUGUAUAUGCUUCGAUUAGUCAUACAAAUUAAUCUGUAUUCAGUCACUGUGCAUAAGAAAUGAAACCAGAAGGACUUCCAAGGUCUGUGCCUUGCCACAAAAAAAUACGUCCAAGCUAUGUUAAUGUCAUACUUAACAUACUGUGAUAAGAUGGAGAAGAUGAGUAUCUACCUUUUUGAUUUAGAUUUGAGGUUGGAUUGGAUAGCUCUGUGCCACAGCCUGCCAGGUCUAGAUUGCAAGCAAAUCCCCUUCUCUGAGAUCAGAGCUGAUAAUAGGAAAGGAAGUCACCCAGUGAAAAUGAGCUGAGCCGCUUACAAAAGACUUCCUCAGUGCUUCUGUUUAUAUAGGCAAAUUACUCACCCAGGUGGCUCCUAGGCCACUGCACUCCCUCCCUGGCUUCCGCCUGUUCUUUUUGGGAUUUAUCACAACUAGAAAUUUAUUAAAAAUGUACCCUCCGCUCUUCAGAGAACAAAUAUGAAAAUCUGGUUUCUGAAGAUAUCAGAACCAUUUAUUUUUGAAGUUGGCAGCACCGGCUGUGAACAUUGCUCCAAGAUGGAUCUCUUCUGUGGAAGGAGGAGUUAUAUAUUUUUCAGGACAAGCUUUUCUCCUUUCAUCCACAAGAAACAAUAAAAUAUUAAAUAUGGUAUGAAAAAAUUAAAAC